CAGAGUGGAAUCUAAUUCUAAGUCAGCAGCUGAUACAGACAUCAGCGAUGGGGAGUACGUUAUCUCAGGGACAUCUCUCCUUCAGUUGUGGAUUUGCUGUGAGGCUUAAAGAAAAUGCUGAAAGAUCUAUGAAAUUCUGAACUGCCAUGCAAAUAAGCUUGACAGGCUGCCAUGAAGUCAUUGGUAUUUGGCAGAGAGCUCUCUCCUGUCCACAUCUUUGCUGGGACUGCCUCCGAGGGACUCUGCUGGAUUUACUGCCUUGGGCAGGGCUCCGUUAACAUCAUCUGUUCUCCUGUUGUCAUGAAAUAAGAGAAGCUAAAGUUCAAGACAGAGAAGAGUCAAGAUCCCAGAGGAAUUUGGU